rnacentral:rRNA from 1 species
CGGGGUGAGUAAUGUCUGGGAAACUGCCUGAUGGAGGGGGAUAACUGCUGGAAACGGGAGCUAAUACCGCAUAACGUCGCAAGACCAAAGAGGGGGACCUUCGGGCCUCUUGCCAUCGGAUGUGCCCAGAUGGGAUUAGCUAGUAGGUGGGGUAACGGCUCACCUAGGCGACGAUCCCUAGCUGGUCUGAGAGGAUGACCAGCCACACUGGAACUGAGACACGGUCCAG